rnacentral:lncRNA from 1 species
GUGUGGCUGUGGCCAUUGAUUGACACAUUAAACUCAUCCAUUGACUGGGACAAUUUACGUGAACGUUUGUCUGUAACGACCACUGUUCACGACGUAUCUACGAUAGACAUUUAAACUGUGGGGUCACCAAAGGUUUCUUAACGCCUUUAAUUAUAAAAUAAUUCGAAAAAUUAAUCAGGAAUAACCUUUAUGUUUUGAUUUAUAUAUUUGAUAUAAAUCAA